CUGAAUCCUGCAUGACCCGGUCUCUCUCCUUAACACUAUGAUUUGUCCUGUCGUUGUCUGUGAACACAAACUGCUUGUUGGAGAUCUUGAUUCAGUGUCCCAUUUUUAAAGUGCGACCAAAAGGAGGACAAGAACUGAACCCCAGAGACCUGCCCUUUGACCUGCCAUUACCAACUCUCCGAAUUUUAGCAUGCUUGCCCCACUCAGCUUCUACUUGAUGUCUGCAGACGCCCGAGGUACGCUAAAAAGGGAUGACCAUCAGAGAUCGUGCAAAGCAAUAGUGGAUACAGUGGCCAUCCACCCACAAACAUCAAGGUUGCUCUAGAAGGACUACAGAGCUCGUAUAAUUGGAAGCAGCCCACGUUAACCUUGUAGAACCGCGCGAAGGUACUUGGAGAAGAGCUUCGCAGACAUCCGCCAAGGAAACUCACCGUAAAAGUGGCCCAAGAUGAAGACAUAGCCCUGGUGGAGUGACAAGUAACACC